UACGUAGGGUGCAAGCGUUGUCCGGAAUUAUUGGGCGUAAAGAGCUCGUAGGCGGUCUGUCGCGUCGGCUGUGAAAACCUGGGGCUUAACUCCGGGCCUGCAGCCGAUACGGGCAGACUAGAGUUCGGCAGGGGAGACUGGAAUUCCUGGUGUAGCGGUGAAAUGCGCAGAUAUCAGGAGGAACACCGGUGGCGAAGGCGGGUCUCUGGGCAACAACUGACGCUGAGGAGCGAAAGCGUGGGGAGCGAACAGG
rnacentral:rRNA from 1 species